AACCGACACAGGUAGUCGAGGAGAGAAUCCUAAGGUGUGCGAGAGAACUCUCGUUAAGGAACUCGGCAAAAUGACCCCGUAACUUCGGGAGAAGGGGUGCUCUAGUAGGGUGAAAGCCCGAGAGAACCGCAGUGAAUAGGCCCAGGCGACUGUUUAGCAAAAACACAGGUCUCUGCAAAACCGUAAGGUGACGUAUAGGGGCUGACGCCUGCCCGGUGCUGGAAGGUUAAGAGGAGUGCUUAGCGCAAGCGAAGGUUCGAAGUGAAGCCCCAGUAAACGGCGGCCGUAACUAUAACUCCUAAG
rnacentral:rRNA from 1 species